CGUCAGUGUACGUUUAUCACGCAACGCGGUAGAGAUUAGCAGCGUUGGUAGCAUCGUCGUUGUUGUAGAAGAGCGCUGCAACCACGUAGUUGUAGUGUAGUAUACAGUGCGGAGUUUUGUUUGGUAUCGCAGAGCGACUUGAUGUAAAACAGCCAUGGAGACGACCACCAUCUUGAACAAUGGCACGUCUGUGAGUGACGACAUCAAUGACUGGACGGGGUUCUGGCCUGUGGCACUGGCCAUGGUCUACAUCAUGGUGUUCGCCACUCUUCCCAUGGGUCUACGUUUGUGGGUCGACCGGAAAUCAUCACACGAAUAGCCACCGACGUGAUCACCCAGUUCGGCCAGUUGUUUAAAUUUUUUGUAGUUGUUUUGCUGGCCACGCCUUCCCUGCCACAUAACAUGC